rnacentral:lncRNA from 10 species
GAGGUAAGAUGAAUCCUGGCUUGGGACAGGCAUUACAAAGGAAAUGACAUUGAAUUUGAGUGCUGAAGGAUGAACAGGAGUUUAUUAGGACUUCCCCAUCAGCCUCCCGCUAAACCACACUUUCUCCAGCAUCAGGUCACAUGGGAGGUGGAAGGGAGUAUGGGGGAGAGGCCAAGAAGCAGUCGCCACCACCAUCGGAGCAACCCGAAGCAUGUGUAGCCCUAAUGCCUGUGUCCCUGGUGUCCUCUGUACAGCUCAUUGAGAAACGCCGCUCCUGCUGUUUCCCAGACACAGGUGGAUCCUGGGAUGAUGGAGGGCCAUCCUCACUCCUGCCUGGAAGAGAGCUGAAGUCAUCCACAGGGAAGAAUGAGUCCUUCCUCAACUUGAUUUUCUCCAAGAAAACUUAAGGAAUGGAGCAGCGAGGAACUUAGAGAAACCGCUUACCCAGUGGAAGAAAAUUAGGCUGUGUCCCCAUCCCCUUCUCCUGAGGAGAGAAUGCUUUGUUGGGCUAACAGUUAUGUUGGACUAACAGCUAUGACAAUAUGCAAUUAAUAGUAAGUUUCUUUGUAACAGAUAAUAGUCAAAACAUCUUGAAGCCCAUUCACAGAGACAACUUUGGGGGAAGCCUCGGCUGUCCACACACACAUCGAACACUGUCAUUAAGCCCUCCUGGAAUGACAGUAGCUAUAGUUCAUUAUCCCGGGUGGUGGUUGUGGGGGGUACUCUAUUCUUUACAUUUUCUUUGAGAAAAAAAAUGUCUUUUAAAACUUAAUUUGCAACACAACACAGUCACAUAAAUGGAAAAGGAUGUGGCCUGAUGAUUCAUGAAGGAACCCAAAUGAUGAGGGGCUGUGCUAAUUUCUGACAACUGAGUGAUUUAUUUCAAAAGAAAGGCCCUGCACCCCCUAAUUGGAUACUUCCACUGGCUAGAUGAGCAUGAGUUUCUCAGCAGAAUUUUACAUAAAUAAAAUUAAGUCAUAUCUUUGUCUGUGGAUAGACAUGCUGAAACACAUCUCUUAAAAACCCUAUUUAUUUUUAUGAAUAAAAAUAAGCCCA